CCGUUUCACACUGCAUGUUUUUUUUCUUUCUCUAAUCAUGUGAGAUUUUAUCAGGCUCUUCUCUGUUAGUAACCGCUAUCAAUUGUGAAAUUUCAGAAGGCAGAGUCUGUGGGAACCAAAGUAUCAGCUGAGGACCUUUAUAGACGCGAGGCGGUUUCUGAAAAGUGCCAUCCAGCCAGGCACACCAGCUCUAGCCCAGCCAGGAUCCUCUCCUCCUUCUCCUUCCAGAAGCAUUAGCAUAUAGCUGGCUGCACUGGGAUGGCUGCUCCAUCAGUCAUGUCAUGGGCACUUUAACAUGAUGAAGAGUGCGGUGGCCCCGUUGGAAUGAAUAAUUCACAUUAGCCCUCGCUCACGCCCGCCCACCGGAGAGGAGAGGGAUUGACUAUGCAACAAUGAUUUAGAGGAACAGAUGUGUGAUCUUUAAGGCAUGCAGGCCUCUGUUUUGGAUGGGAAUAAAAACGAAUACAGCAUAUUCCCCAAAGUAGCUUUGCUGCUCCUGCUUCCGCCUUACUUUAAAUAAAUCUCAUCAGUGGCAACCAAUGUUCUGAUUUCUUCAGAAGCCGGAGAGAUAAAAGUCAAACCCAUCUGUCUCAGUCCCAACUUCUCUCUCCUCUCUGGUGGUGCGGUGCAGCAGGAGAAUUUAUCACAGCUCUAACGUGACAGUAAAGUGGAUCUGCAUCCUCUGCACUGCUCCUCUCUGCUACCCCUCACAUCAUUAUCGUUAUCCCCUUUCACUUUCCCAGCUGAGCCCCCUUGGAUAGAAAAGAACAGGGUGACAAAUAAAUGGCGGGUAAAUACGUUUAAAAGGAUCUGACGGCCGGUAAUGGAAAAAGAGCUUCCGUAUUGUUAUAACCUUUCACAUUUGUUUGGCUCACGAAAGGAAAAGUAUGCCAUUGUCCCUGUCAGCUAAUUGGAUCAAGGUUGUUGUGUGGAAAAACAGAUGUGAAUGAAUGGCUGAAUGAGGUACAUGCCGGACAAAAGACGAUGGAACUGAAAUUGCUUUAAAAAUUGUUUUCUUUUCCCACUACCAACGUGAAAGUAUGGAAAAAUACAGUAUAAAAGUGCAUUAAUGGCGCAAUUUAAAAUGUCUGAAAAUACAAGAAAAUUGUCCUUGCGUAUGUUGUCUUGUUCUUUUCAAUGGUCUGUAUCUGUUUUGGAAAAGGGACGCUGCAUCUGAAGAACACAGGCCUACUGCAAAAUGAACUGCAGUUUAAAAGCCAUCUUGUUAUUGCUCAUAGCUAUGUGAUGUUAUUUGGCACAGUGGAGACAUUACAGCUCAGAAAUGGAAUAUCCCUGAUCCAAUUAAAAACUGGCUCCAAAGUGUCACCGGGGUCUCGCUGAUUCCUGCCCUGAGCACUCGCCAUUUUCAAACAAGCCACUGUCAAAGCAAGAGAUAGGAACACGAAACAUGAAGAAAAAAAAUGUCAAAAUAAGAGAAACCUUAUUUCCAAUCUAGCAACGGCUGC